rnacentral:lncRNA from 1 species
AGUGCACUGAUUCAGCUACCAGUGCUGUGUUCUUGAGGUUCGGUCUCUUCUGCCCCAGGGUUCCUGCCUUGAAUUCCUGUCCUGACUGCCCUUUGUGGAGGACUGACUGUGGCCCAAGAGGUACUGCUUUCCAGGGACCACUGAAGAGGCAAAUAGGAGUCAAUUCUUACUUCACUUCUGCAAAGCUUCAUACCAUAUUACGCUGAGUAAUGUUGAAUUUCCAGAUCAUUGUGGGAAGGAUCUGGGGAAAAAAAAUUGUAUUUUUUUUCAAUUACAAAAUAUAAAAGUAAAAACAAAAAU